GAAAUGCGAUAAGUAAUGUGAAUUGCAGAAUUCAGUGAAUCAUCGAAUCUUUGAACGCACAUUGCGCCCGCCAGCACUCUGGCGGGCAUGCCUGUUCGAGCGUCAUUUCAACCCUCAGAACCCCUUGCGGGAUCUGGCGUUGGGGAUUGGCAUCCAGCCAGCCCCGAAAUCUAGUGGCGGUCCCUCCGCGACCUCCCCUGUGCAGUAGCGAUACCUCGCAGCGGGACAGCGGUCUGACCACGCCGUAAAACCCCCAACUUCCCAAGGUUGACCUCGAAUCAAGUAGGAAUACCCGCUGAACUUAAGC
rnacentral:misc_RNA from 1 species